GUAUAAGAGACAGCAGUAGCCGCGGGAAAACGAAGGGUGCAAGCGUUAAUCGGAAUUACUGGGCGUAAGGCGUGCGUAGGCGGUGAGUUAAGUCUGCUGUGAAAUCCCCGGGCUCAACCUGGGUAUGGCAGUGGAUACUGGCUCGCUAGAGUGUGUCAGAGGAUGGUGGAAUUCCCGGUGUAGCGGUGAAAUGCGUAGAUAUCGGAAGGAACACCUGUGGCGAAAGCGGCUCACUGGACCAUUUCUGACGCUGAUGCACGAAAGCUAGGGGAGCAAACAGGAUUAGAUACCCCUGUAGUCCCUGUCUCUUAUAC
rnacentral:rRNA from 1 species